rnacentral:tRNA from 1 species
CAAAUUAGAGCUUGUUUAAAAGUAUUUCAUUUACAUUGAAAAGAUAAUUAAUAAAUAAUUAAUUAAUUUGA